rnacentral:rRNA from 1 species
AUAGCCGUUGGAAACGACGAAUAAUACCCUAUGACAUAAACUCUUCGCAUGAGGAGCUUAUCAAAGAUUUAUCGGUGUAAGAUGGACUCGCGUCUGAUUAGCUAGUUGGUGAGGUAACGGCCCACCAAGGCGACGAUCAGUAGCCGGCUUGAGAGAGUGUACGGCCACAUUGGGACUGAGACACGGCCCAGACUCCUACGGGAGGCAGCAGCG